GAUGUGAGGGCACUCUGGCUGGGACGUCUGUCACUCCCCUGAUUACCACGGUUGAUUCAGCUGAUCUGGCUGGCUAGGUGGAUGUCCCCUGCCUAGCUCACUGCUC
rnacentral:sRNA from 1 species